rnacentral:rRNA from 1 species
AAACUUUCAACAACGGAUCUCUUGGUUCUGGCAUCGAUGAAGAACGCAGCGAAAUGCGAUAAGUAAUGUGAAUUGCAGAAUUUAGUGAAUCAUCGAAUCUUUGAACGCACAUUGCGCCCGCCGGUAUUGCGGCGGGCAUGCCUGUCCGAGCGUCA